rnacentral:tRNA from 1 species
GGGGGUGUAGCUCAGAUGGGAGAGCACCUGCCUUGCAAGCAGGGGGUCGACAGUUCGAAUCUGUUCAUCUCCACCA